UAUCUAUAUGUCACUCCAUCUACAGUCUUCUGCCACCAGCCUUCUGGGUUUUCCCCAUGACCUACAUAACAGCUUUAACUCCUGCCAUUGUCACAAUCUCAGUAUCAUUUCUAAUUUCAUGGAAACCACCGCAGGAGAGAGAAAGAAAAUCAUAAAGAACAAAUAGAGUAGGAGGAUUACAAGAACCAGUAACAGUUGGAUGGGUGAGAACAUGACAUGCAUACACCAUAAAGUCUGCCCUCGGGACACAAGGGUUGUUUUCUCACUGGCCCACAGAAGGCAGGCUUAGUAGAUUAUCCGGUGGGGCAGGCCCGGAGGGAUUGAUGUCCUCAUUCUCGGGUACCUCCGGCACAGAUUCCACUGGCAACGCGUCAGGCUUUUCAUAUGCCAUCUCCGGCACAGCAAAGCACUGGAGCAGUUAAGGUGGAGAAACACUGAGGUGAGGGAGAAGGAUGAGAGUCAUUCACUGGGGUGGGGGCUUCACUUACUUGUGUUAUGAGAGAGUGGGAUUGACAGUGCCAGGGAAUUGUAACAAGUUGUUUUCUCUUGGCAGAUAAAAGAAGAAUAUCAUGUUACUCACAUUAUAAUCCCUGUUCAGAAUGGAGGACCUGAUUACUGUUGUAUGAAAAACGAGGAGGAACUCCUUUUUGUUCAAGAAGAGCUGGGGCUUCUCACCUUAGGUUGGAUUCAUAACCAUCCAACCCAGACAGCCUUCUUGUUAAGUGUGGAUUUACACACACAUUUUUGCUACCAGAAGAUGCUGCCAGAAUCAAUUGCAGUGGUGUGUUCCCCUAAAUGUAAAGAUCUCCAACUGGUGGCACUGUUUGUGGAAACUUUCGAACUUUUGGAACAUGAGAUCUUCACCUGGACCUCAAGGUUAUGGGGCAGAACACUCUGAUUCUGUACCUGCUUCCUGACCCUCCAACAGGAUUCCUCAUCGUGUUCUCCACAGACCAUCAUUUUUACUUCAAUCAAUGAAAGUCAUUUUUGAAAUGGGAAAAUCUCCCCUCUUCUUCCAUGUCCUUCCUCCGAGAAGCUGUUACCAGAUCUGUUCCUGUCAGCACCUAGGAUCUGACCACCCUGAUGAGCCAGCCUCAGCCACCCUUCUUCAAUAAGACAAGAAGAGGCAAAGUGAAACACCGAAAAAUGAAAUUAAUCCACUGGAGCCUCAUUGGGAAAAAAACAGAGAGGUCCAGAGACAGUCCCUCAGUUUCCAUUAGAGGGUUGAGGGAAAUUCCAGUUUCUUGGUUAUAUUAUUUCAAUAGGCAGACAGCCAAACGUGGAAAGAGAUUACUAGGACAGGUACUUUCACAGACUAAACCCCAAUACAAUCACCUUUGAAUUCCUUAUGAGUCACUUUUAUCUUUGAGAGAGUGACAUCAGGAUUGCACCUGCCAGGAGGAUGACUAUUUUGAAACUGACUGUAGAUUCAUGGCUUUAGGAUCUUACACUAAUGUUCUUUGGGAAAAUUUAAUGCAUACAACUUAUUGAACAAUUCAGAGUUUAAUGUUUGAAAUUAGCAAUAAGUUACAUAACUCUUCUUUGUAUGCAAAUUAGGAAAAGUAGUUAUUUAUCAAUUCUCAUUUUAAAGUUAAUUAUAAAUAUAUACUGUGUUAACUUUCUGCAAAUAUAAAUUUCUUCAAUUUUAAACUUUAUGUACAUGUAUAAUCUAGUUAAGUUACAUACUAUAUUCACACAUGCCAUCUUUGAAAGCAGCUAGCAGUAAAUUCUUAAAAUGUUUUAUCACCAGUUGCCUCCCAGACUCAAAUUAACAAAACACAGCAUCACUAUAAUACAAGGAAAUACAAACUUUCAUUUUUAUUCUUCCUUGAUUUGAUAUACAUUAUGUACAUAAAAAGGCAUUUGAAUCAAGAUAGAGCAGAAAUAAAAAUCUCUCCUACCAUACUUUGCAUACACAUUGGCACCAAGUAAUAUUUAAAUUAUAGUGCAUGAAAUAAGUAAAUUUUGUGUUAAGUAGUAUCUAUUUCUCCUUUUUCUGAAGACAGUGCUAAGCAGUAAAUAGCACCACAAACUUCACUCAAGGAACUGUUGUAAAGAUUGGAAUUCUCCUCUGAGGAUUUGCAGUAGUGAAGUAUAAAUGUAUCUCAAUGAAAUUCAGCAUAAAAGAUUAUUCAUUUUAAUCAAAUAUAAAGCUUGUCUCCAUAUACCCCAAUUAGCAUCCACAUGUCUUGUGUGAGAAUAGAAAUCAUCUUCUAGAAUAAAUGCUGGAACUUGAAAACUAGGACCAAGAUACAUGAAAAAAUGAUAGAGUAAAACUUACAACUGAAAGAAACAAUAUUGAACUGUUUGGAAAACAAUAAAAAAUUGAUAUUGUCAAUUUUUUGGUGAGAUUGGCCUCUCAACCUGCCACCAUCCACAGAAUCUCAGUUGUAUAAUCUAAUCAAACUCUCUGUGUUGGUAUCACACAAAAAUAUCCUGUGGUAUUGCAUUCCCCCAAAUAUUGUGCAUGCUAAUAAACUUAUCUGGGGUCAGAGACAGAACAGCCACAAUAUUAAACAUAGAGGAUAGGCAGUGGUAGCACAUGCCUUUAAUCCUAGCACUCCAGAGGUAGAAAUCCCUCUGGAUCUCUGUGAGUUCAAGGCCACAUUGGAAACAGCCAGGCAUGGUGACACACGCCAUUAAUCCCAGAAAGCGAGCCUUUAAUCCCAGGGAGUGGUGGUAGAAAGCAGAAAGGUAUAUAAGGCGUGAGGACCAGAAACUAGAAGCUUUUGCCUGGUUGAGCUUUCAGGCUUCUAACAGCACAGUUCAGCUGAGAGCCAUUCAGAUAUGAGGACACAGAGGCUUCCAGUCUGAGGAAACAAGAUCAGCUGAGAAGUUGGCCAGUUGAGGUUAGCUGUGGCUUGUUCUGUCUCUCUGAUCUACCAGCAUUCACCCCAAUAACUGGCCUCAGGUUUGAUUUUAUUAAUAAGAAUUUUUAAGAUUCCUGCUACAAUAUCCAUUUCCAUUUUUUAUAUAUCUUGUAUAAUGUCAAUAUAAUUUUUUUAAAGUUUUCUUUUUACUGAGGAAAGUAUAACUAUGUUUAAUAAGAGCAAUUUCCUUUACAAUAUUAUUCUCUCCAUUUCUUUCAAUGACACUAGAAGCAUAUUUCUGAUACUGAAAAUGAUUAUUUUUGGUUCACUUUGAUUUAGAAGAGCUUCUCAUUCUUUCUGACUUAUUCUCUUCAAUUCUCAAAAAAAUGCUUGCACACUCAGAUUAUAUACACAAGUGAUUACCACUUAAUCAUGAAUGCUACAUAGGAAAUUAGAUAUGAGGUGAUUACUGUGGAAGCAUUAUAGAGAUUUUCUGUUUAGUCUUGUAUGGUACAACAUGCCAAACACAAAAUAUAUAUUUAUAUGACUUUAUGAUAUAUAUCCUGUCACAAAUUGCUUCUAGAUAUACAGGAAAUGAAAUAAUAUAAAAUUAAACCAAAUACAAGUGAAAAUUUGAUCUAUAAACAGGAUCCAUAAGGCUGGUGCUCAUAUGACCCUCACAUAACCCUAUAAUUGUUACAGUAAACAUCAUAACUAAAGAAAGACUAUAAGCUAAUAAUGUAAUAAUUCAUACAAAGCACAUGAGUAACUGUUUGCACUAGGAAACCCAGGAUGUUAAAUAUUCAGAGUUAUCCUCUCAAUAGAGGAGAUAUCUAUUUUCCAUGCAGAAGGCUGAGAGUGGAUGUUGUUAAUUGCCAGGUGAUCUGUGCUAUCUGAAUGGCCAUGCCAUACCCAAAUCCCCCAGACUAUUAUGUUUACCCCAGAUUCUUCCCUCUCUAGACCUUUAUCUUGAGCUUUUUUUCUCAGUCAAUGGAACCUAUACUUAGGGGAACAGUCACAUGCACUUUGUAGUUUAAUGACCUACACAAUCAUAAGACUACACCAGAUCAUCCUCUGGGCCCUUAAGCUACAGAACCCAUUCUUAUGGAAGAGGUCACAUCUACUUUGCAAAAAGAGUUUUGAUGUCAUCAUGUCUUAAGCUUUAUUGUGCACAUGGGAUUGAGAUAAUUGUUACCAGGAAACUUUUUUUUCCAAAAUUGUACUGUACGUUAAUGCCUAAAAUUUAAACUGCCCGGUGUCAGACUCAUGAAGUUUAAGCCAACACUGGCAACUGAGUUGUGUUGAACAGGAUUUCUUUCUUGCCUCAUGUGGAUCAUUAUUCUGCUGGCUUUGGUGUUUCCAGUGACCCACACAAGUAACAUUGUUGCUUAUUAUUAUUGUCAAGGACUGUGUAGUAUACCCAACUUAUAAGAUCAGAACCACAGCAGAUUUGCACGCAUACCAAACAGGACCACAAACAUAAUACAUGGUUCUCUAUCUGUACCACAAAGACCUCAGUCAAAUGUAGGAAGUUUUCAGUUCCAUUACAGGACCACAAACAUAAUACGUGGUUCUCUAUCUGUACCACAAAGACCUCAGUCAAAUGUAGGAAGUUUUCAGUUCCAUUACCCUCUAAUGGGACUACCGUGGUAUAUGUUGUGGUUGACUGAAAUCUCUCUUCUCUCUCUUUUCCUCCCUCCUUCUUCCUUCCCUCUUUCCUUCCCCCUCUUUCGAUGUGUAGAAGGGUUCCUGCAGAGCUCUGCAGCUGGUUUGAUUUUGGUGUGUUAGCACAUGGCUUUGAUCUGUCUUUUGUGAUUGGUACCUCUUGUGUCUGGUACCUUCUGUUUCAAGUACGUAAAUCUUACCUGAGAGUUUUUUAAAUGUUUAAAGCCUAUGUAAAACUUGGUUAUGGAAGGACACAGCAAACUGAGAUGUCCUAUAACUAGGAAUUGUUUCAGCAUUUGUCUCUUUGGGAGCUUUAAAUAAGAAGUUUUGGUAUGUAGAUAUUAUUUUGCUAAAAAGUGUAAACUGUAUAACAAUGAAAGAGCCCUUGGCAAAACUACAGUCAGUUUGCCAGAGGUUGACUCCCCUGUGGCCACAAAGGCUAAAAUUUAUCUUAGAGUGACCUUGUUUUUUUCAAGGACCUGCAUGAACCCAACACCCAACACUUCUAUGUGUCUAUACUUCAUACAUAUAAAUCUAAAUCACAGUGUUUUGAUAGCUAAUCCAAUUGAGUGAAUGGAAAAAUUUAGACAUAUAAUUACAGGCCGUUCUGUUGGAGGGGGGAUUCUUCAAUGGAGAGCUGUGAGAUCCACCUACAUCUACUUAACUGGCUAAGGCUUCAGUUUUGUUUUUGAGAUGGAGAUAAUUAUUCCACAAUGUUAUUCUGGGUAUGGGGAUUGUGCAAGCAUUUUACAGGACUGUAAGCACUUGGUGUGUAAUGAUUGUUUAGCGACUGAUACUAAUGAUAAAUUUAGACCCUGAACACAGAACAAGAAAAGCCAUGGAAUACACAUUAUAUGCUGUGUUAAUGUAAAUGUGUAGGAGGAGGAAAAAUCCCUUUCUGUAAUUGGAUUGUGCUAAACUGGAGGAUUUACUUAGAUAACAUGUGACUCAUCUAUGUAAAGUAACAGCUCAAUCCAUAAAUAGCUAAGCAGGCUUAUAAACCAAUGCAUUAAACUGAAUUCAUCCUAUUUGCAUAUUUUUAUGUUGGACAUAUAUCAAUGCAUAUACCUGAAAUAUCCACACUUUAAAUAAUCCUAUUUUAAGAGUUAAUCCAAAUACCACACGCAGACUGGACUCAAGUGCACAGAUCAAAUAUGAUUUGUGGGUAUGUCUCUGACAGAUGGCCUUAGCACUCUCUUCGGUGAAGGAAAAUGCUCUCUGCUUUGUGAUAAACACUAUCUCAUUGAUUGAGGUCCUAGAUAGAAGCAGGUAAAGGAAGGAAAGAAACACCAUGAAGAAAUGUCUGUUUCUUCAUCACUUCCUGCAUUAACUAGGAC